GGGGGAGAAGUGGUGAACAAAGGUGGAGAAAAGAAGAAAGAAGUGAUGAACAAAGGGGGAGAAUGGUAAAAGAAUCAAUUGAAUGUAAAACUUUAUAUUAUUGUGGAAUGUUUUGCAGGACUUCAAGACUUCAAGACUCCUAGUUGCGUCUAUGUCAUAGAGUCUGUUUUAGGAGUUUUGAAUAUAUUUUGAGUUUUAAUUUGUAUUUGGAUUACACGCGAGAGGUUCAUUGUUUUGGUGAUAACAUAGAACUUCGUUUUUCUUUUACAUGUAAUGUUUGUGCUUUGAGUGUGUUUUGUCACGAAAUUGCCAAAGGGGGAGAUUGUUAGGUUCUAUGUGUUGGCAAGUUUCGUGGGUCGAGUCAGAGUCUUGAAGAAGUCUGGAGCGGAGUAUUGAAGAUCGAAGAA
rnacentral:lncRNA from 1 species